CGGCUGUAGCAAAAAUGAGCUUGCGGAAGCAAACUGGUCGGCUGUUGUUCAAACUCAUCAACAUCCUGCUUACCGAACUUCUGACAUUC